UGCAGAAAUAUAGGUGGCGCCACAACCGUUUAGGUUCAACAACACUUCCGGUAGCAAGUAAACACGUCAAAUCUGUGAAACUGUCAAUUAUACAUCGAUGUUUUCUAGGAUUCCCAAGUGUUUCAGCUGUUGUUAAUUAAGCUUUUCCGUAGAUAAAAAGUUGGUGAAACGCUAGGUAUCAGCCAUACAAAGAGCCGAUCAUGAAUUUCGCUACAAAAACCUCGAUGAUUUCAGACACCUGUGGUGGUGUGCCACAUGCUUACGGGGAGACGUUCAUCACAGCAACAACCGGGGACCAGUAUAAUUAAAGGUUUUACAAGCCUUGAUACCAAGAGCCUGAUCCUUCCCAUAUUUGCUUGGAAUUGAGGAAGAUUUACCAUAAGGCAAAAGAAGUACAAAGUUGGAAUGUAUAUUUAAUAAGGAAUUGACUGAAAUAUCAAGAAAAGCAGACACUCCCACAAGGUGGCCUUUUGUCUGGACAGAGAAUCCGAGAUUGUUGAGGAAAUUAACCAUUGAAUUAACUUAGACUCAUUUUACAUCAGAUUAGCCUGGGCAGUAUAUUGUAAUAAGAGAUAUGUUAUGGAUUUGAAAUGCUGUCAUGACAGUUUUCUACAAAGAUAAAUGGAAGGAUUCCUUAAAAAACAAUGGAUGUAAUUCUUAAUUAUGAUUGAACAUACAGUAUAGGACUUGAAAGUCUAAGAUGGCUUUAAAAAUUAGGUACAAUAUUUUAAGUGUAUGAUUUGUUAUUCAGCAUAUGCAUAUUUAGUUGUUUUUGCACAUGUCAUUAUAAUAAAACAAUAAUAUACAAUAUAACUGUUGUCUAAAAUUAUUUGAAAAGUUUUUAUUGGGUAAAUUAUUACCU